rnacentral:misc_RNA from 1 species
GUGAAUUCUUGGGAGUCCCUCUUAACCGGAGAAGGCCCAAUCCACUAUUUACAAACCCUCGUGCAUCUGUCCCUUUACAUUUAACCCUUCUGCAUUACAAAAGGUUGUUGUGUUGUUAAUUUUGAUAAUUGAAAAA